UUUCCGUAGGUGAACCUGCGGAAGGAUCAUUAUCGAGAAGCGAUCUGGGGGAAAGGCGAGCGAGCGAAGUUUGGUAGAUCGUAGGGAUUGUCGCUGGCCUUUGGAAACGAAGGCAUGUGUACGUUCCGAGUUCUCCUUAGUCCUCGUUUACCCUUUCCUUUGGAAAACCUUUAUUUCACACCUGUGCACCUAUUGUAGGUCCCGCGAGGGAUCUAUGUUUUUAUCUACACCACAAGUCCAGAAUGUCUUAAUACGUCGACCGGCCUGGCUAACGCUUGGUUGGCGACGGUAAAUAAUAAUACAACUUUCAGCAACGGAUCUCUUGGCUCUC
rnacentral:misc_RNA from 1 species